rnacentral:lncRNA from 10 species
AAUCUAUGUCACUUAGCCUGAAUCCUCUGGAAAGCCGAGCCUGAAGCAAUGAUUAUGAUUCUAAUAGUUUAUUUUCCAGAUACAAUCACAUCACAGGAUGUUGAGCCUCCUCACCCCAUGUGGAGGUGAGGCUUUCCUCAGGUGGUCCCCUGCCAAAGUGGGGAAGUCAGCUGGAUUCCUUAUCCUACUCAGUAAGAAGGUAUCAAGUGCCUACAAUGUACCAGGAUGCCAUUGGCUCUGGGGAUAUAGCAGUGCAAGACAGAAAUGCAGCUCAUGGAGCUGGCGUUCUGAUGGUGAGAUGCAAGCACCAAACAAAGGAAAUACGUAGAUGUCACUGCUACACGUGUUGAGAAAGAAGAUCAUGCUCCUUGAAUCCUUUCUUGUGCAAGACCUUUGAUUCCCUCGGUACCAUCCGUUCUAUCCCAUUCCCUGGACCAAAUGUUUGCAAUAUAUAACACUUCUUUAAACUUU